rnacentral:rRNA from 1 species
UACGUAGGUGGCGAGCGUUGUCCGGAUUUAUUGGGCGUAAAGGGCGCGCAGGUGGUGCGGUAAGACUGCCGUGAAAUCUCCCGGCUCAACUGGGAGGGGGCGGUGGAGACUGCCGGACUGGAGGCACUCAGAGGCCGGUGGAAUUCCCGGUGUAGUGGUGAAAUGCGUAGAGAUCGGGAGGAACACCAGUGGCGAAGGCGGCCGGCUGGGGGUGACCUGACGCUGAGGCGCGAAAGCGUGGGGAGCGAACCGG